GUCUACGGCCAUACCACCCUGCACGCGCCCUAUCUCGUCUGAUCUCGGAAGCUAAGCAGGGUCGGGCCUGGUUAGUACUUGGAUGGGAGAAAUACGGUUAGAUA
rnacentral:rRNA from 1 species